CUCCUGGUGUCCAAGCUAGAGUGGAACAACGCCAACCCAUCCCGAACUUGGCAGUUAAACACCCUAGGAACAAAAAUACUAAAGGGGGGGCCCUUUGGGAAAAUAGUUUGAUGCCAGGAA
rnacentral:rRNA from 1 species